rnacentral:lncRNA from 1 species
UGAGUCUUGAAGAAGGUGACCCUUUAAGCACCUCCGAAUCCUUGUAACUAGAAGGAUCCUGGCAUCUCUUCUGUAGGACAUUGCAAGGAAAUGUCUUCUCUCUGAUAUUUCCCGGCUCCCAACCUACUUAAAACAGAUUGCAGGGGAUCUGUAGGAUCUGAGCGGUUAUGAGCAGACUCUCUGUUUCUGCCUUUGAUGAAGCGAGCUGUUAAUGUUGUGAGCUGACCUAUGGAGAGGCCCACAUGGCAAGGAACUGAGGCCCUCAGUCCAACAGCUUGUAAGGAAGUGAAUUCUGCC